UAAAGUAUGGCGAAUAAAGUCAAUAAACAAUAUUAGACAUUGAAAGGAUUGAAUGCAUAUUUUGCGUGGUAUUCUUUUAUCUGGUUGUAUCUAAGUAACAAAAAAUCUUAGCCAAGACGUUAAUGGUUUAUAUUAAAAUCACAAAAUGAGUUGGUCUUGGAUGGGUGCAGAUGAUGGUGAUGGAAAUGCUGAGGAAAAUGAAGGUGGAAAUGAGAUGGGGUACUGGGGCAAUAAAGAUAGCCUGAUAUUUCUCAUUGAUUGUUCAAAGUCCAUGUUUGAAGGUGCCAAAGAUGAGAAACCAUUUCAGCUUUGC